UGACAAACACAUUGACCGUGAACCUGGAGAACAAAGAAUAGUGUUCCACCUGAAUACUCACAGUUCAGGGUUAUGUUUGGACAGCUGUGUACAGGUGUGCACUGGCUGGCAUGUCCGUUACAGAAACAGCUUCCUCGGACAACCAUGUUGUAAAGAGCAUAGUAAUAUUUGUCCUGAGGGUUCCUGCGCCUUCGACCCAGCAAAGUGUCCCCGAGUGUGAAGAGACGUGUGAAGUUAAUGCGAAUAUUUGUCAAGACUGUGGGAGGAAGCUGGAGAACCUGGAGAGAACCCACGCAGUCAUGAGGAGAACAUGCAAACUCCACAAAGAAAGAACCAGGUUCAAACAGGAACCUUGUUGCUGUGAGGAGACAGUGCUAACCACUGCAGAACAAAAAUAUGAAAAACUUUAUUUGUUGAACUUUGACCUCUGUGGUUCUGAUCUGAACUGGAUUAGCCCAAACAUUCUUUUUUACAUUUUUAUAUUACAAUGAUAUUAAAGCAUGGAUCUCUAAUUUUUAUGGUCCCAG